GUACAUACUUACAUCACCUUCAGCCCACUGAAGCUAAGCAGGGCUGAGCCUGGUCAGUACCUGGAUGGGAGGCCGCAUGGGAAAACUAGGUUGCUGUUGAAA
rnacentral:rRNA from 1 species